GGUUGAAGUGGGGGCUGGGGGCUGGGAGCAUGCAGCCACUCAUGGGGGCACCGCAGGCGCUGCCGCUGCCGCGGGAGACCGAGCAGAAGCACCUCGGCUGUGGCCUGUCCCGAGCCUUCCUGCCCCUCACUUCCGGGAGGAGGGGCCCGGGAGUAGCAAAGUGACCACCAGGCGGAAACGACAUUGCCUGCUUUCGCCCUUCACUUUGAACUUGGAGAUACAGGGCCUCCCCUGCACCUGCUGGGUCUCUGGGGCCUUGGGCAUCUGGGACACGGGCGGUAGUGGUGUCUUCAAGGCAGGCUGCGGUGUGCAGGUCACCUUGCUGUUGGGUUUCAACAGCGACUUGCUGGGCAUUUAUCUGGAAAAGAAGACGACUUCAGAGAAAAGCGAAGUAGCAGGAAUUAACAGCGUGUAAGCCAAUCACUCAUACUGCAAAACAAACUCACAGAAAAAGAGAUCAGGUUUGUCAUUACCAGAAGCAGGGGGAUUGGAUGAGACGGUCGAAAGGUACAAACUUCCCUUUAUUAGAUAAAUAAGUAUUAGGAAUGUAAUGUACAACAUGACAAAUAUAACACUGCUGUAGGUUACACGUGAUAUGUAUGAGAGCUGUUAAGAGUAAAUCCUGAGUUCUCACCACAAGGACAUUUUUUUCCUAUUUAAUGUUCAAUCUGUGUGGGACGGCGGACGCUCGUUAAACUUACUGUGAUGAUCACUCCAUGAUGUGUAAGUCAGAUCUUUACGCUGCACACCUUAGACGUAUAUAGUGCUGUAUGUCAGUGAUACCCCAAUAAAACUGGGAGAAAUAAGAAGCAAAGAGUGAAGGGGGCGCGAACGUGGCAGACCAGCCUCGCACGCAUUCCUGCUGCCACCGCACACACGGCAGGGUGGGCACAGAUGCUCUGUGCUGGCAGGAACUGAGCUCACAAAGGCUCCAGGGGGACCUCAGACCCCGGAACUGCAUCCCCCCGAGGGUUAGGACUGAGCAGGGCCGGGCCGGGACCCACCGGUCCAGCAGCUGUGCUGGUCGUCCGACGGCCCUGGGAUGGCUGUUCGGCCCUCCUGGGGGGACCCCUCGGCCAGGCCGGCCCACGGGCACCGAGGCACGCAGAUGACAGCGUGGCCUUGGUGCAACCAUUCUGCUGCCCUCGCUCCCCUGGGCACGCGGGGCAAGGAUGGGGAGCGAGGCACCUGCAGGUCUCGUCACCCAGGAAAGCCCCAGGUGCCGCCUCUCAGAAGGCUGGAGGGGAAGUGCCAUUCGCUGGUGCAGCGAAGCCUCCCUCCUGCUGAAGAGCAGUCUAGACUGUGCCCACCGGUGCUCCUGGGAGCGUUCCCUGGCAAGUGUGUAAGGGGGUGCUGUGGCCUGCCAAGCUUCUCCUCCCCCGGGCACAUCGACGCCUUCUGGUACAAGAGACAGAGGAGGAGGGUGGCGAGGCCACAGCCGCAGCUCUGGACACAUGUGCCGUGUCUGCGAACCCGCACCCCCAGAGCAUCACGACAGAGCCAUGAAAAGGCAAAUAAGGGGACUGUCAGGUACCAUCCAAUACUCCGUCUACGACUGGAUGCUGCCCAUCACCCCACACUCCUCUCUGUGAAUUCCUAUUCCCGCUCCAUUCCCCCGCACAGAUCUAAUGUAUUUUAUGCUUGGAAUUAUUUUAUAGACCCCCGAUCGUGCGUCCCUGCAAUAGAAAUGUGCUCCAGAAUUGACCACAAGGCUCUAAGUGUUCAAAAAUAAUAAUCUUCUGGCCGCUGAGCCUGCGCGUCCGGAGCCUGUGCCCCGCAACGGGAGAGGCCACGACAGUGAGAGGCCCGCGUACCGCAAAAAAAAAAAAAAUAAUAAUCUUCUGGGUUGAGAAAUCGGUACAAUUAUUAUUGGUAUGCAAGUUAGCAAAAUGACAAAUGUAUUACAGUUAUGGUAAAUAAUUACUAAACAUAAAAAGUAAAAUUUAAUAGAUGGAGAGGGCUAACCUGUUUUCUUCAGUUAGUUCCUAUGCCCACAAGGCUCAGCGUCAACUCUAUUCUUAUUUUUCCAAUUUAUAAAUCAAAACACUGAAAAAAAUCCCAUUCCCAUAAAUAAACUGAUGGCACCAGAG
rnacentral:lncRNA from 1 species